rnacentral:rRNA from 1 species
CUAAGCAUAUCAAUAAGCGGAGGAAAAGAAACCAACAGGGAUUGCCUUAGUAACGGCGAGUGAAGCGGCAACAGCUCAAAUUUGAAAUCUGGCCCUCGGGUCCGAAUUGUAAUUUGUAGAGGAUGAUUUUGGUGCGGUAUCUUCCGAGUUCCUUGGAACAGGACGCCUUAGAGGGUGAGAGCCCCGUACGGUUGAAUGCCUAGCCUCUGUAAAUCUCCUUCGACGAGUCGAGUAGUUUGGGAAUGCUGCUCUAAAUGGGAGGUAAAUUUCUUCUAAAGCUAAAUAUUGGCCAGAGACCGAUAGCGCACAAGUAGAGUGAUCGAAAGAUGAAAAGCACUUUGAAAAGAGGGUUAAAUAGCACGUGAAAUUGUUGAAAGGGAAGGAUUUGUGACCAGACUUUUUCUGGGCGGAUCAUCCGGGGUUCUCUCCGGUGCACUUUGCCCAGUAAAGGCCAGCAUCGAUUUUCGGCGGCGGAUAAAAGCAGUGGGAAUGUGGCUCCCUACGGGGAGUGUUAUAGCCCAUUGUAUAAUACGCUGCUGGGGAUCGAGGUACGCGCUUCUGCAAGGAUGCUGGCGUAAUGGUUAUCAAUCACCCGUCUUGAAACACGGACCAAGGAGUCGAACAUUUAUGCGAGUGUUUGGGUGUUAAACCCUCACGCGUAAUGAAAGUGAACGGAGGUGAGAGCCCGUACGGGUGCAUCAUCGACCGAUCCUGAAGUUUUCGGAUGGAUUUGAGUAAGAGCAUAACUGUUCGGACCCGAAAGAUGGUGAACUAUGCGUGGAUAGGGUGAAGCCAGAGGAAACUCUGGUGGAGGCUCGCAGCGGUUCUGACGUGCAAAUCGAUCGUCAAAUCUGCGCAUGGGGCGAAAGACUAAUCGAACCAUCUAGUAGCUGGUUACCGCCG